rnacentral:tRNA from 2 species
GCGGAUGUAGCUCAAUUGGUAGAGCACCACCUUGCCAUGGUGGGGGUUGAGAGUUCGAGUCUCUUCAUCCGCUCCA